rnacentral:misc_RNA from 1 species
GGAAGGAUCAUUAACGUAUAACAAACAGAAACGAAUAGAUGUGAGUUGAGAACAGUUUAUAAAGCUAAAUCUAACUAUUUUACGGUGGAUGGAUUGGUUGCUUUAACGAUGAAGGGUGUAGCAAUUUACAGAAUGUCUUUUGUAUCGUUACACUUAGCGUGAAAGUUCUUCCUGAAUGCAGUUUGCCUCUAUUGAGGAGUCUAUAUACGUUCGGUAUCCCUUUCCAUAUAUCCUUGUUGAAGCAUUACUUCAGCAUGUUAAUUCUAACGAAUGAAAUAUGAUAUGUUAUCAUACAUCGACGUAUACGAGACUUGACUACUCCCUGAAUUUAAGCAUAUAAUUAAGGGAAGGAAAAGAAACCAAAUGGGAGUUGGUGUGUAGCGGCGAGUGACAACCAGAUAGACGCAACCUGAAGAUUCACUAGUUGAAUCGAAGUGGGGGCAGAUUAUCAAUCGUUCUACAAGUCUGAUCCAUUGUUUUGAACAACAUAUCAUUGAGGGUGCAAACCCCGUAAGACUUGGUUCGGUUGUAUUUCUGUCAAUUCGAGUAGGCUUCUAUAAUAUAAGAAGUCGAAUUGAGGUAUCCACCUCAAAACGCUGAAUAUAUGAAGCAAUCCGAUAGCGCAGAAGUACUGUGAUGGAAAUCUGAAAAGAACUUCGAAAGGAGGGUUAAAAGUAUCUGAAACCGUAAUUGUGUUAAGGGAAUGUUGCGACGAAGGAAAUCUGUUUAUUCAGGCUUCCGUGAUAUGUUUAGUCUACAAAGGACUUAUUCAUACAGUAGUUGCCAUAUUCCGCCCGUCUUGAAACACGGACCAAGGAGUCUUAGACAAGUGCAAGUGCGUUACUGGAAACAGUAGUACACGUAUGAAAUCAAAAUUUAUUUCGUAUUUUCUGUUGUUCAACAGCAGAAGAGUUCUUGUCCAUGAACCCGAAAGAUGGUGAACUAUACUUGAGUAGGGUGAAGCCAGGAGAAAUCCUGGUGGAGGCUCGUUUCAAUACUGACGUGCAAAUCGUUUGUAAAACUUGAGUAUAGGGGCGAAAGACUAAUCGAACCAUCUAGUAGCUGGUUUCUUC